CCAAAAUGCUGCGGUAUUUUGGUAGCAGGAAGUCCACAUUUCCUUCAUGAACUUGUAAUUCCUCAAAGACAUUAUAAAUCAUUAAAAAUUAACAGCAUUUAAUUAUCAUGAAAGCAUAAAAGUAUGAAGACAGGAGUCUGACAGGAGGAAGUACUUCAGAGACAAAGACAAUCGCCUUCCAAACUAGCAGGAGUUACUUUCGAAGUGCUUAAUUUUCUAGUCUUAUAAUGAAAUGCCAGAUGUCACCUGUCACUUCCUAGACUGGAUUCUCAAAAUCCUGUGUAUUACAGCCUCCAGCUACAAGUACUGCCAGAACAGGAUCGCACCACCACCCAGCACCUACAGGAUCAAGCCUAGUGGAGGCUCAAAGCCUUCAUCAUGUCUUCAUUUCUAGAGGUCCUGGAACUCAAAAAACAGCAUUUGGCAGGAAGACAUCCGCUUAAAUGUUUUGAAUACAAAUAAGUUAGUAAAGAGUUCUUUUUGGAAACAAAAGCA